GACGCUACUUCAACAACAACAGCUAGUCAGACACCUCCGUAGCUUCCAAGCCGGAACAUUCAAGCUGUUCAGUCUGCUUCGGUGUAUAUUUGCCUCUGUAUUUGAAACAUAAUUAUCUUUUAACUAGUUUCCCCGUUUAAUGUCAUAUUUCCGUUUAGUCAGGUAACGGUAGCUGGCUUGAUAAAUUAGCCUAUCACUAGGCUAGUCACUAACUAGCUAGGUUAGCAGGCUAACAUCACUGACCAUGAGUUCACCAAGCUACCCUCCUCCUGCUGAAGAAGAGGAGAUCUGCUGGACGGAGUAAGAAGGUAUUUGGCUGAACAUUGUCGUGAAAGAGGAGAAUGAAGGGGAGGAUGUUACAGUAAACGAAGAAGUAGAGGGUGAUGCUGUUACAUAGAGAAAGAAGAAGACUCGUUCAGAGUGAAAGAGGAGGAGGAUGUUACAGUAAAAGAAGAGAGGGAGGAGGAUGUAAAUGUAAUGUAAAUGAGGAUGCAGUUUUUGGAGUGAAGGAGAUAACUGUCACAUUGAAGGAGGAGAAGGAAGAACAAGAACAGGAGGAGGAGACAUGCGAUCUGAUUAAGACCAGAGAGAGAUCAGACUCUGACAGCGGGAGUUCCUCAGAGGAAACAGACCCGGAGACGCCUAACCAACACCACUGGUCACACUGUGGAAAGAGUUUUAGCCUUUCUCUCCUCUGAAGAACCAGUGAGGAUGGAGCUUAGUCAGAGAGCUGUUGAUGGACUGGUUUGGAAGAACACUUCUACAGCCAGAGGGGCAGUCAAGAAAUGGAAUGACAAGGCCACAGAACAUGACAUAAACAGAGCUGUGGGAGACCACCUCAAGCCCCUGGUAGAGCCGGGUGUGGUGUUUACCACUCCACCACACCUUCAGCAGGCUGGAAAAGUGGUAUUGAUCUGUUUGUUUCAAUUGUCAGAAAUUGAAUUCUUUGACAUGGGAUUGAUACUGAUUUUCAUACUAAGAGGGACCAGAAGUCUGAUGAUUGGUCAGUCAUUGGGUUCAUUUGUUGAAAUCAAAUCAAACUUUAUUUAUACAGCACAUUUCAGACAUGGAUGCAACACAAUGGCUUCACAGGAAAAACCAAUGAAAAUAAACAGAAAUAUUUAGUACACAACAUAAGAGGAUAAAAAAAACUGAAGACUAAUGAGCAUUUAUGGAAAUGCCAUUGAUUACAUUAUAAAUUGGAUGCAACAUCCAACCCAAAAUAUAAGCUUGUUUUCUAGGUUGGGUUCUGAAAGACACUAUGGGGGUGUCCACUGAAAGUUGAUUAGUAACAACAACUGGGACCUAAAGGACAUCCACCAUGAGACCGACUAAAUCUGCCCAAGAAGAGGAAAACAAAAGAAAAACCCACACCAAACUUAGACAGGAAGCAAACCAAAAAGGUGGAACAACUAAAGGUGUUGACUCUCUACAUCUAUCAGGACAACUGGAGCACUAAGCCAGACACUGUUCAAUAGAACCUGGACCAGCUCAGGUGAAACACGUUCCCACUAACGAGAUGGACAAGCCAGCACAGGUGUAACACAUACUGACUAACGAGGUGACACCAGUCAGUGAGUCCGACGUGCAAAAGUCCAACCUCAAAACAUAAAUGGAAAAACUAAAGCCUGUAACAGCUUAAGACAACAAAUAUAUCCUAUAUUUUUGUUGGACAAGUUUUCUUACCACGAACAGAAAACAACUUGCCGUCAACAAUUAAAAACAAGAAAAAACACGUAUUUCUAAAUAAUAAUAUACAAUCAUAUAUAUAUAUAUUUUUUUUAUAGAAUCCUAAAACUCACUAGCUUCUAGGACUCUCGUCCCCUUGGAACGAACAAAACUCAAAUCAAAUUGUAUUAGUCACAUGCACCGAAUACAACAGGUAGACCUAACAGUGAAAUGCUGAAUACAACAGGUGUAGAUCUAACAGUGAAAUGCUGACUUACGAGCCCCUAACCAACAGUGCAGUUUUUAAAAAAAAUACAGAAAAUAAUAAAAUAAAAUAAAAAACUCAUCUCCAACACGGAAAAACGUGUCAAAAUAAAUUGUGACUCAUGAUAACACUCGGGGUAAAUGCAAAACACAAAUCUUUUUGACUGCCAAGACAAUUGAGACAAUCAGCAACCAAGUUGUCCUUACCAAAGACAUGUCUGAUAUCAAGAGGAAACUCCUGCGAUAUCAGUAGUAACUUUCCACAACUGCAGAGCUUCUCUCUCUUUUCAGGGUUCACUCGAUAGGCAUGUUGGUGGAUCGUGGCCCAGUCCCCAGUGUUGUGCUCUAGUACAUUUGGGUUGGCACAUCUGAGAAUGAACCCUGAUAUUCUAAAAGCAGGGCAACAAUGUCAAUAUAAUUGUACCCAAAAAUUGUCAGUUGGUUGCAUAAAUAAUUAUUACUAAAUGUUACAUAAUUGUAAAUAUGAAAUACCAAAACCAAAUGCACACACCCCUUUGUUAAUAUGUAUUGGCAAUAAUUAACUGAAUGGUGAAACAUGUAUCUUUUGUCAGGCUGGAUGUUUGAAAUAUGAGAUGAUUUGAGUCAUGCUUCUUCAGUAAUGGAAUAAAGACAAUUAGCAUUUGAAUGAUGUAAAGAAAUACUGGAGUGAUGUUGGAUUGUUAAUAAAAUUGAUUAUAGACUCAAUUCAUUAUACUGCGACAAGGUGUAUAGGCUGUAAGUACCUUGAAAUUAAGUUGUUUUCAAGUAAUUGAAAAAACAACCCGAAAAUACAUAUUUUCAACUUUCACUUUCAGCUACAACCGAACAUAUAUUGGACGUCGGGCAUAGUCUUAUUUUCAACAUCUUUGGAAUUAUAUUUUGCUAAAUGGGAAUAGUGCAAUGUCAAAGCACAGUUUUAACGUGUCCAAAUCAAUAACCAACAUCUUCCCACAUUGAUCACAGCUAUAAGGUUUAUCUCCUGUGUGUGUCCGCUGGUGUACCAUCAGGCUUUUUAGCAGAGUAAAACUCUUCCCACAUUGAUCACAGAUAAAAAUGUUUAUCUCCUGUGUGUGUUCUAUGGUGUGUUGCCAGAUGUACCUACUCUUUCCACAUUGAUCACAGCUAUAUGUUUUCUCUCCUGUGUGUGUUCUCUGGUGUAUAGUUAGAUAGCUAGAUGUAGUAAAACUCUUCCUACAUUGAUCACAGCUAUAAUGUUUCUCUCCUGUGUGUGUUCUCUGUUUUGUCAGACAGCCAGAUGUACCGAAACCAUUCCCACAUUGAUCACAACUAUAUGGUUUCUCUCCUGUGUGUGUUCUCUUGUGUAUAGUUAGAUAGCUAGAUGUAGUAAAACUCUUCCUACAUUGAUCACAGCUAUAAUGUUUCUCUCCUGUGUGUGUUCUCUGUUUUGUCAGACAGCCAGAUGUACCGAAACCAUUCCCACAUUGAUCACAACUAUAUGGUUUCUCUCCUUUGUGUAUUCUCUGAUGUAUAGCGAGAAAGUUUGACUCAGUAAAACUCUUCCCACAUUGUUCAAAGCCAUAAGGUUUCU